rnacentral:rRNA from 1 species
AUUGAACGCUGGCGGCAGGCCUAACACAUGCAAGUCGAACGAGCGGCGGACGCGUGAGUAAUGUCUGGGAAACUGCCUGAUGGGGGGGGGGAACUACUGGAAACGGUAUCUAAUACCGCAUACCAUCAGAUGUGCCCAGAUGGGAGUAGCUAGUAGGUGGGGGAACGGCGCACCUAGGCGACGAUCCCUCGCUGGUCUGAGAGGAUGACCAGCCACACUGGGACUGAGACACGGUCCAGACUCCUACGGGAGGCAGCAGUGGGGAAUAUUGCCCAAUGGGCGCAAGCCUGAUGCAGCCAUGCCGCGUGUAUGAAGAAGGCCUUCGGGUUGUAAAGUUCUUUCAGUGACGAGGCGUUACUCGCAGAAGAAGCACCGGCUAACUCCGUGCCAGCAGCCGCGGUAAUAC